rnacentral:rRNA from 1 species
GAUGAACGCUGGCGGUAUGCUUAACACAUGCAAGUCGAACGGACUCUUCGGAGUUAGUGGCGGACGGGUGAGUAACGCGUGAGAAUCUGGCUUUGGGUUCGGGACAACCACUGGAAACGGUGGCUAAUACCGGAUGUGCCGAGAGGUAAAAGAGAAAUUGCCUGAAGAUGAGCUCGCGUCUGAUUAGCUAGUUGGUGAGGUAAAGGCUCACCAAGGCAGCGAUCAGUAGCUGGUCUGAGAGGAUGACCAGCCACACUGGGACUGAGACACGGCCCAGACUCCUACGGGCGGCAGGAGUGGGGAAUUUUGCGCAAUGGGCGGAAGCCUGACGGAGCAAUACCGCGUGAGGGAAGAAGGCUCUUGGGUUGUAAACCUCUUUUCUUAGGGAAGAACAAAAUGACGGUACCUAAGGAAUCAACAUCGGCUAACUCCGU